UACGGAGGGUGCGAGCGUUGUCCGGAAUCAUUGGGCGUAAAGGGCGCGUAGGUGGCCCGGUAAGCGUGCGGUGAAAGCUCGGGGCUCAACCCCGAGUCGGCCGUGCGAACUGCUGGGCUUGAGCACUGUAGAGGCAGGCGGAAUUCCGGGUGUAGCGGUGGAAUGCGUAGAGAUCCGGAAGAACACCGGUGGCGAAGGCGGUCUGCUGGGGUCGAACUGACGCUGAGGCGCGACAGCGUGGGGAGCAAACAGGG
rnacentral:rRNA from 1 species